UACGGAGGGUGCGAGCGUUGUCCGGAAUCACUGGGCGUAAAGGGCGCGUAGGCGGCUUGUGAAGUCAGUGGUGAAAGCCCAGGGCUCAACUCUGGGCCGGCCACUGAUACUCGCGAGCUCGAGUUUGGUAGAGGCAGAUGGAAUUCCGGGUGUAGCGGUGGAAUGCGUAGAGAUCCGGAAGAACACCGGUGGCGAAGGCGGUCUGCUGGGCCAAGACUGACGCUGAGGCGCGACAGCGUGGGGAGCAAACAGG
rnacentral:rRNA from 1 species